AUACGGAGGAUGCGAGCGUUAUCCGGAUUUAUUGGGUUUAAAGGGUGCGUAGGCUGUGCCGCAAGUCAGUGGUGAAAUCCCGGGGCUCAACUCCGGACCUGCCAUUGAUACUGCGGUGCUGGAGUCCGCUUGCCGUGGGAGGAAUGAGUAGUGUAGCGGUGAAAUGCAUAGAUAUUACUCAGAACACCGAUUGCGAAGGCAUCUCACGAAGGCGGAACUGACGCUGAGGCACGAAAGCGUGGGGAUCAAACAGGCUUAGAUACCCUGGUAGUCCACGCUGUAAACGAUGAUGACUAACUGUCGGCGACAGACUGUCGGCGGCCAAGCGAAAGCGAUAAGUCAUCCACCUGGGGAGUACGACCGCAAGGUUGAA
rnacentral:rRNA from 1 species